GCGAGUGUGGUGGAAUUGGUAGACACACCAGAUUUAGGGUCUGGUGCCCGUAAGGGCGUAAGGGUUCGAGUCCCUUCACUCGCA
rnacentral:tRNA from 1 species